UACAGAGGGUGCGAGCGUUAAUCGGAAUUACUGGGCGUAAAGCGUGCGUAGACGGUUAUUUAAGUCGGAUGUGAAAGCCCCGGGCUCAACCUGGGAAUUGCAUUCGAGACUGAAUAGCUAGGGUACGGUAGAGGGAAGUGGAAUUUCCGGUGUAGCGGUGAAAUGCGUAGAUAUCGGAAGGAACAUCAGUGGCGAAAGCGACUUCCUGGACCAGUACCGACGUUCAGGCACGAAAGCGUGGGGAGCAAACACGGAUAGAAACCCCUGGAGUCCAGACGAAUGAUCC
rnacentral:rRNA from 1 species